rnacentral:rRNA from 1 species
AACGUGGGUAACCUGCCUUAUAGUGGGGGAGUAGCCUUUCGAAAGGAAGAUUAAUACCGCAUAAGAUUGUAGUAUCGCAUGAUAUAGCAAUUAAAGGAGCAAUUCGCUAUAAGAUGGACCCGCGUCGCAUUAGCUAGUUGGUGAGGUAAUGGCUCACCAAGGCGACGAUGCGUAGCCGACCUGAGAGGGUGAUCGGCCACAUUGGGACUGAGACACGGCCCAGACUCCUACGGGAGGCAGCAUG